GGGAGCCCCAAGAACACAUGGCUGAGCCCAGCUGUCAAUCCGGCAGCCGGGGGGAAUUUGGCAGGAAAAUGUGAACCACCCUCGGAAACCCAUCCACGUGGGAAGGAACGUCUUUGGCAAAACGUCCCUGUGUCCCAGCGCUGGCUCUUCCUUCAGGGAGGCUGUGGGCAGCUCCAGGCUCUCGGAGCCGCCCACCUCCCUGUGGCCCUGCUGCACCAGCUGCCCCUGCAGAGCCUCGCACUCCGGGGUCCGAUCUACCCCACGGCGCCUUCUUGGUCCUGAGACCUCCUCACCUCCGUCCUGACUCAGGGGCUCACGCCUGCAGUAACCCCAGGCUGCAUCGACAGUGGAAACGAGUCUUCCAAGUUCACGCUUGCCUUGUCCCUCUCCCUCUCCAUGAAACCCACCUGGGCAAAGCCCAGCGCUGACGGGAGCCACCGGGCUGCCUUCCUGGAGCCUGCCUCAGAGCGGCUGGGGGAGCACCUUCCCGCAGGGAGGACGAGCCUCACCUGGCGCUCUUGGCCCCCGGUGUCCCCAGGAGCCACUCUCCCACCUGCAGGUGCACAAGUCGCGCCGCCCGCCCUUCUGACUCACCGCCCUGGCCCCCAACCCCCUCAGCCCCGUUCCAGGGAAGAAUCGGAAGCCACAGGGGCCUUCGCUGGGUUCUCACGGCUCACAGACCCACUCACCUCUGCAAACUCCUUCUCUGCUCCCGCUCCGGCUUCCAGGGCUGCCCCUGGAGUGGCGGCUCUGUCCACCCCUCCUCCUGCUCACCAGGGCAUGGUUCCCCCGAGCCCCCUGUGCCAGCACGCCGUGUCUCUCCCUCUCUGCUCAGCUAUCCUGCCAACCCGCACCUGCUGGUGGGGGGCUCCAUGCACCCCUGCCCAGCUCCUACGAAUGCCUUGCUUCCCCUAAGUUUGCCAGCACGCGCCUGCCCUGUGGGCUCCACUCUCCCGACUCAGGUGAGCCCGGGUGCUGCUUUCCCAGCAACUCUGAGCAGCCUGGGGCAGGCGCAGAGAAGCAACACGUGGGCAGAACGAGCCACAGUGGGAGGGGGGUGGUUGUGCUGGCAAUGGGGCAGCGAGUGACAGAGGCCCCCGUCUCUGGAGUGGUUAGAGUCCUGCCACGGUGGGCCCCACCCCAGCCUGCCGUGACAGCCCCUCCAGGGACGCUACAGACACGGGUGCCGUGCCCGCAGGCCUUGGGCCUGACCACCUGCUACUCUGCAGGCCUGUGAGUGCCAGGAGCUUCCACCUGCACUUAGCAGGCCCCGGGCCAGGGUGCAUGAGGGCUGGGGCCCUCCCACAUAAGCACGUGCAGCUAAGUCCUCAGGCCCCGGGCUGCAGCGGAGCAAGCUCAAACACAGCAGCAGGCCAUCGCGCCCGUCUUCUGUCCGCGUCACAGGCAGACGGGGAGGCCGCUGGGGAAGUGCAGCCCCCGCCCAUCACGGGGCCUCGGCCCCUGCAGCUCCCGUCGGAGGCUGAUGCCGGGUGCCUGGCAGGUCCCACUUUCCCAGAGCUGACGGCGCAGGGUGCGGCUCUGAGCACGCUAGGCCGAGCCCACGUCCAUCGCUGCCGGGAUGGAGGGGCCUCGGGGGGGAUGCACAGUGCUUCUGCAGACACCACACCGGGCCAACCAACGCCUCGCCUGAAGCCAGCACCCAGAGAGGCCUGGCAGAGACCCGCAAAGGGGCAGGCUCCUGAGUCCCUCCCCCCUCCCACUGAGUCAGGGGCCGAAGACCAGCGCUUCAGGGGCCACCUGCCCACCCCUCCACCGAGCCUGAAGCAGGAGGGCAGUGGCUGUGGCAAGGUCGUGUGGGGUUUCCCACGCCUGCAGUGACCCAGGAAGGUGGCCAGAGCAAGUCACCUUUCCCACACCCCCAAGAGGCCGUCUACCAAGGGCAUGUGGGUGCACUUCCACACGGGGGGCUGCAGGCAGGGAGCUGGGGAUUUGACAAAGCCAGGCCCCAUGUGAGACCCGCAGCUCCCCCCGCCACCCUGCAGAGAACCCGUAUAUGCCUCACAAGGAAGUCGCCAAGGGGAACCCGCCACAGACAGGGGCCAAGGGCAGGGCAGGUGAGAGGGAGAGCAGCACCCCUGGGAACCCUGCCUCGGGAGCCACUGAGGGGUCUCA